CCCACCUCCGUUCUCCUUUCCGGAGGCCUGGGCGAGCCCGGAGGCCUGGGUGAGCCGGGAGCUAGUCACUUGUUAAGGGCCACGCUGCUGACGCCCUGCACCCGGUCGUCCCCGGUGUUCCGAGUCUCGCCCUCACACAGGUCCGAUGGCUUCUGACGAGGUGAUUUGGGGGGCACUGGACAGAAUGAGACUCGCUCUCAGUGAGGAUGGGGAGAAGCCAGCCUGGCUUCCCCACCCCACGCUUUCUGCACCCCCACCUUCUAGCCCCCCGCCCCCCGGGAAUUCUGGAGGAAACAGGCCCUGUUGGGAGUCUGGAAGACAGGCUUUGAGUAAAGGUCGUCCACGUGCCAGUCUCCUGCCCCCGCCUAGCCCCCAAGGACACAGACGGGAAGGGGUUGCCAGGGCCUCAGCCCACCUGUUCAUGCAGGUCUGCAAGGAAAGCAAUCCCAACACCACAACAGUGCGAAGAAAAGCAGUACAUGGAUUCAAGCAUUCUAAGCUUUGUUGACAUUUUCUCUGUUACUAGGACUUCUUCGUGGGUCUUACAGUUCUAUGUUAGACCAUGAAACAUUUGCAUACACAUCGUCUUUAAUGUCACUUUUAUAACUUUUUUACGGUUCAGAUAUUCAUCUAUACGUCUGUACAGAAAAAAAAAAGCUGCUAUUUUUUUUGUUCUUUAUCUUUGUGGAUUUAAUCUAUGAAAACCUUCAGGUCUAUCCUCUUCCCUCUCUGCUCACUCCAAGAAACUUCUUAUGCUUUGUACUAGCGUGCGUGACUUUCUUCCUCUCUUCCCAGUAACUGAUACUUAUAUAACAUAAUUUGCCAUGAACUGUUUGAUGCCUUUUUAUAAAUACAUAGCCCUCCCUGCUCCCCCUGCCCCGUUAGUUCUGUUCUACCCCUAGGCUCUGUGGGCACGAAGCUGGUGAGGGGGGCGUGGAGGGACGGCGGGUGCCUGCCCCGACCCUCUCUCCCCAGCCUGCCCUCACACCGCGUCUGAGUCUGUUACAGUGCAAGACAUGACACAAACUCAGGUCAGAAAAAAAGGCUAAAUACAUCGCACAUCCUUGUUCAGUGUUGAUACUCACCGUUGUUGACAGGUCUCAGCUUCUCUUUCCCUUGCCUUUGUUUCAGUUGUGACACAUAUAUCUAUUUUUUUAAUUCUUGGGUACAACAGCAGUUUUAACUGCAGACACUAGGCAUUUGGAUUACUUUUUUUUUUAAUGGCUAUUUAAUCCUUCCAUCCCAUGGAAAACAGCUGCUGAGUCCAGGGGUGCAGCGGCGCCCGCGCGCUGCAGCGGGCCCGUCUCCGGAGUCCUGCCGCCACCCCGCCCCCUGACCGGACCUACCUGUCUUUAGAACCGGAGAGACGCCCCAGGGCAGGCUCCCCCCCCAACCCCCGGCGCCGGUGGGGAGUGGGGCGCAGGGGCGGUGUCCUCACGGAGCCACCGGCAGCCCCUCAGCAGGUCAGGACAGCAGGCGCCGCGGGGCGAGGACCAUGCCCGGUGCCCAGAGGACCGGGGGCCUGGCGCAGGGGAGUCGUUCCCCGGCCAGCAGGCCGAGUGCUCGGAGCCCGGGGUCUCGUUUUGUUUAGUUUUUCGCACUUCUCACCAGAGUAAUGACAGCACAAGAGUUGCUUCCGGGAUGGAAAUGUUUAAAUUAGGAGUAAGAACAGAGCUAUACAGUAUGGUGAUUGCUAGUUGCGACUGGAGAUUAAACACACGCAAGAAAGUUGGUAGUGCUUUUUCGCUUGUCACUAGUCUCGGACUAGUCCCACUAUUUCCUCUAGUCUCUGUCCCAUAGUGUUUCCCUUAAAAAAUGAGAAAAAGAAAAAAAUUAAGGUAUAUGUAGGAGUUUUAAUUUAUUUUGUGAUACCAGUUUCAAUCACUGUAGAGAAGCCCCCUUAUGAAUUUAAAUACUGAGAAAAGGCUUUGUGUGUGUGUGUAUGUGCGCGUGUGUGUGUGUGUGAGACAGGACAGUUUAGGGCUUUUUGUUUUUUCUUUCCCAAACAUCUUAUCUACCUCACUCUUAUUUUUUAUAUGUGUAUAUAUAAAAGGAGUACAUCUCACAUUUCUCAGCACCUGACAAUAUGCCGUUGAUACUGGUAACCUCAUGCACACCACAGGCCGCACACACCAGGUGACGCAGGGCGAGGCCAGCCUGUAUCCCGGGGUCACAGCAGCACGAGCUCCCCUCCCCACUCGCCUUUCUCUGCGACGGCUCAUUUGGCGUCGCUCCUGUUCUCCUCCUGGCUCAGUUUCCCCAGAGGCAGGGAGGGGCCCGCAGGUUGUCUUGGAAACCAGCGACUCAGUGCAGACUGGGGGGAGGGGCGGUGGUUUCCAGGGUGGGGACCAGGCCGCAGGGUGGCCGCUGGGCCCUCAGCCGGGUCAAGUCAGCACUCUCUGCGGCCACGUGGGCUCCGAGAGAGCUGCGCAAGCGCCUCCUCCUGCCGGUUCUCGACCUGGUGGUGGCCAGCCCCAGGUAGGAUGCAGGAAGAGUCCCCGCCUCCCUGUCCAGGCUGUUCUCUCCACCUCGCCCUCACCUCCUUCCCAGGGGCAAACAAAGACGUACCAAACCUUUGGGCUGGAAGGGGCUGUGCCUCCUCCCCCGCUGCCGCUGCUCACAGGCGGGCGCCCCCUCCAGCAGCUGCUCUCACAGGCACUGGCGUUUCAUCUGGGAAAUGCAGAGGGGGGGAAUCUCCCCAAGUGUGGCAGCUCCUUUCUGCUCCCAGGACUGCAGUUGUGCUCAGGAGCUCCUCUCUCCUGCUGGAACACCCCUCUCCUUCCCCAAGUCCCCUGGCAUCUUAAGGUCAUUGAGAAGUAGUGUCUGAUCAGGGUUUCCCGCUUCCACACUGUAGGUGACCCCGUGGAAUAGCGGCCUCUCCUCCGUUUUGCACACACCUACCGGUUUCCACAACUGGAUUUCUACAGAUCAUUCAGCUGGUUAUAAGGGUUUUGUUUAAACUGUCCGAGUUGUUGGUGUCGCUUUUUGUUUUAUGUAGGUGGCUUUCCUUUAAAUAGAGAACACUAACAGUAUAGUGCCCAUCAUAACAAAUGCUUCAGAAACACAAAUAAAAGAGAAUUUUUUGCUUGUGUGAUGGUGCAGUUAUUUUACUGGACCAAACCACCCACCUUGACUCUACCAAGGCAUCAUCUGUCCACAGUUCUAGCCUAAUUUUAUGCUCAUUUCCCCACCUCUUCUUGGUUUCCUCCUUUGUAUGCUCCAAAUAACUUAAGCUGAGUUGUGGCGUUCUCCGUGCAGCCUCCUUCUGACAGCAGCUUGCACUGCUUGGCGUGACGAACCACUGAGGCACAUCAUUGAAUCGAAGUGAUCAUUAAAACCUGACCACACACAGCCCUUCCCUGAGGCAGCAGGAGCUGGUGUGUUCUGGAGACGUUGUUGAACUGCAGCUGGGUGAGACCCAGACCACCCCAGGACUCCCUUAGAGGAUGUCCUGACAUUUGACACAGUUGGAAUGAGCUUCCUCCUUGGAAGAGAGAAGACUAUGUUCAUGGCCCACACUGGCCUUUCCUUCCAGCCUGUCUCUUAUGACUUGGAACAUUUCAAUAAUAGGAAAAAAAAAGAAAAAGGUUAUUGUGGAGCUACUCAAUCGAAAAAUGCUUGGCAUGAAGUGGUGUGUUCCGAGUUGGGUAACAGAUGUCAGAGCCAAGUAUGAUGCCAAAUUCUAGGCCAGUUUGUUCCACUGAAGCCUCUUUCUCAGCAGCCCACCUCUGGGGCAGGCGGCUGCAUGGGAUGCAGGCCGCUGUUAUGACAAGGUCACACGUACCUCAGAGCAGUGAGAAAGCUAGGAUACUUGGUCCAAGGUCCUCAGCUGUCACUGUUGGGUCCUCUGGCCAGACAGUGUUAAAGGCAACUCUUUCCAGAACACAAGCACCCUCCAGUUGGCAGUAAAGCUCCGUGGUAUGCCUUGGCCCAUUCCAGCAGACCCGGUAAUGCAUUUAAGGUUUGGGGUUUGUUCUUUUGUUAAUAUUACUUUUGUGUUUGUUGGCUGUCUUUCCAUUUCCUGGGCUAAGCAGCAUUGGGAGACAUGGCCCAGAGAUCCACUCUUUAAGAACCAGUGAUGAAAUCAAACUCUUAACUCCACUCUGACAUAGUGGGUGGUACAGAUGAGAACGUCAAGAGAGGAUGUUGCUUAGACUGAACCUCUGUUGCCAGAGAUGCUGAAGAUACAGACCUUGGACAAGCCAGAGGGUUUCAUUUUUGGCCUCCAGCUUAGAUGACUAGUUGGUCAUUUAGAGAACAAGCAGACGAACACUCCUUGAUGGUGGAAUGAGGAGGUGGCAGGAAACCAUUGUAACAGGGAUCGUGAAUGACGUGGAGAGAGGAAAGCGUGAGCAGAAGGUACAGGGCUUGGAAGAAGUGUGGGCUGUGCUUGGAACUUGAUGGUUUCUGAAGGUGUCAGACCACAUCAAGGCUCAGCAGUCAUCCGUGGGCAUUUGGUGUCAACAGAUAAGCCUAACAUCCCACUUUGGAAACUGUUACUGCGGAGUUCAGUCAGAUUGUUCAAGAACACGAACUGCAUCGCACCGUCAGUUGUCAGUUCUGGGGCGUGACUUUAGGGUUUUGUUUUGUUCAUGCAAGAACAUAAUGAUUACUCAUCUUGUGUGUCCACGUUUGUGUGUGUCCACAUCUUUCUGGUGAACAUCAUUGUAAUUAGUCACUCAUUAGCGUUUUCAAUAGGGCUCUUAAGUCCAGUAGAUUACGGGUAGUCAGUUGACGAAGAUCUGGUUUACAAGAACUAAUUAAACGUUUCAUUGCAUUUUUGUAAGAACAUAGAAUAAUUUUAUAAAAUGUUUGUAGUUUAUAAUUGCUGAGAAUAAUUUAAAGACACUUUUUUUCUCUGUGUGUGCAAAUGUGUAUUUGUGAUCCAUUUUUUUAGGACACCUGUUUACUAGCUAGCUUUACAAGAUGCCAAAAAAAAAAAAAAAAAAAAGGAUUUUACCCUGACCCAAGCCGUGGUUCACCCUCUUUUCCCCCAUGCUUUGUGCCCUAGUUUAUAACAAAGGGACGACGGUUUAAGAAGUAGUUCUGUAUCUUCAGUAUCUUGGUCUUCCAGAACCCCCUGGUUGGGUAGGGGAUCAUCUUUUACUGCUCAUUUCCCUUUGGAGUGUAGCUACUUUAACAGACUGAAAGAACCUCAUUGGCCCAGCAAAUCGCAGAGCCUCGAGAUGGAAGGACUCCAUCGCACGGCUCACGGCUUUCGCGAUGAGCGCGCCGCACAGACUGCCACAGAAAGACGGUAAUAAUGGCGCACGCAGGCUAUUUGCUUCCAUGCCUCAUAUCAUGGUUAAUGCUUUGCUAUGACGAGGAAGAGACCCUAUUUUUAUUUGAGGCAGAACACCGAAUGUAGAUGUUUUUCAAUAGAAAACAAACUCUUUUUAAUACAAACUAUACACAUGCAAGAUCUUUUUUAAGUUUGACUCCAUUGCUUCCUGCUCUCAGUGGGUCAUUGGCCAUAUCAGCACAGCUCCACAAAAUCCCCAUCACUGGAAACACCUGGGUGUUUGUGCUACAUGGGAGAAAGGUCCAGAACCAAUUUGGGUUUUGUUUGCAACUUUUCCUUUGGAUGUUUGGUGUUGCGCAGACACAACCACAGGUGAUGGAUGCUUGGCAAAGACACCUGUCUGCUUUCUAAGCCAGUGAGGUUGAGAUUGGGGUUUGCCAGAGUCUGUCUACCUCUGGGACAAAAAAAUAAAAAUCAAACCAGAAGGCACGAUGGAAUGGAUGCAUCACAAAUAAUGCAUUUUCUGAGUUUUCUUGUUUAAACAAAAGUUUUUUAAAAAAAGUUUAAAAUUUUAAAAAAGGUAAUAACAUGGCCAAUUUGUUACAUAAAAUGACUUUCUGUGUAUAAAUUAUUCCUAAAAAAUUCCUCUGUUUAUAUGAAAAAAAUCAGUAGAUGGAAAAAAUUUCAAAAUGUUUUUUUGUAUAUUCUGUUGUAAGAAUUUAUUCCUGUUAUUGCAAUAUACUCUGGAUUCUUUACAUUACCGAAAAAAAAAAGAAACUUUGUCUAUUUUGAAUGGCUGAAGCUAAGGCAAUUUUAGUUUCUCUUACUCUGCUUUUUUCUAGUAGUUAAAGUACUACAUGGUUUAAGUUAAAUAAAGGAAUUCUGUAUGCACUUUGGUCUCUGAUUUUGCCCCUCCCCGAACUUCUGAGCAGGGAAGCUGAGCUACAGGUGGCGUGUGUGUUCGCUGGGAGGCAUUCUGCGUGAAGGCGUCGCCCUGUUUCCGACAGCUGAACCUUCUCGGCAUGCACGUUUCGUGUGAACAGGAAAGCUAUUCUCUCCAUUACAUCAGCCAGAAGAAAACUUGAAUUUCUAUAAAAUAGAGAUAUCUGUGCUUGAUUUUUGACUGCUCUGUAGGCUUUUCCAUAGACAAAAGUCAGGCCAGGGCAGGUUUCAUCUGGGUGAUCCUGGGGCAAAGGACUCUGUUCACACUUUGACAUCCUGGUUGGUCCCUCACGGUCCGCACACCUCAGAGGGCACAGGCAAGGCCUCGGACACACACACAGGGCACAGCUCACUGGCACUGCGCAGACACCUUAGUUACUUUUCAGCCGACGAUCUUGGCCUACCCCAGGAUGCUGUGUGAAG
ensembl:lncRNA